GUUAAGCAGUUCCUGCUCCCAGUGAGGGCUACAUGCUAUUCGGCAUCGUUUUUAUUGCCUAUGGUCUAAGGCAAUGCUUUCUUCCUAUACAACCCAGGACUACAUGAGCUUGUCACUUCUGCCAGCAGCACUGAGCUCAGGCCUCAGUUAUCCCAUGGGAUGGUCUGAGGGGCCACUUGAAGCAGUUUUCUUGCCAGUUCCCCCUAGACGUUCUGCAGAAGGAACCUCUGCAAAGGAAGAGGAAGAUGGGCCAGUGCUGGCAGCGAUUGCCUUGAAGCAGCCGAGCAGAAGGGCAAACCAGAGAAUAAAGCAUGAAGUGCUGGUGCUCAGGUGCACUUUGUUAAGCACCUUUGCCUCUUCUCGGGAAGAGGCUUUGUUAGGAGAGCUAAUGCAUCACUCCUCUUGUGUUUGCCACAAGGAGAUACACAGCAUUACACAGCCUACAAUCUGCAUAGACAAGGACUGAACUCUGGUCAACUACUGAUGCCUACCUCUAACCAUACUGGUAGCAGAAUCACUGAUGAUGCCUGAAAGGCUGCUGCUGGUGAACAUUGCCACCAACAGGAUUGUGUGCUGGAGUGUCUUCUCUGGGCCUGCAGGCAUCUCAGUGCACAAUAUGAUGGACAAGUUGGCAUCCUUACUUCUUCAGAUGUUAUCUAUGACACGUGAACAGCAUGUUGUCCCCUUCCUUCUCGUGUCCCUAAUGGAUCUCAGUGCAUUAACAUCACCCCGUGUUAUGCUGACGUACCGGAUGGCGUCAGAGGUUGUGCAGGAAUGGGACUUUGACACGUAGGGAGCAGACAAUAAACAUUCAUGUUGGAGU
rnacentral:lncRNA from 7 species